GGUUAAGCGACUAAGCGUACACGGUGGAUGCCCUGGCAGUCAGAGGCGAUGAAGGGCGUGCUAAUCUGCGAUAAGCGCCGGUAAGGUGAUAUGAACCGUUAUAACCGGCGAUACCCGAAUGGGGAAACCCAGUGUGAUUCGUCACACUAUCAUUAACUGAAUCCAUAGGUUAAUGAGGCGAACCGGGGGAACUGAAACAUCUAAGUACCCCGAGGAAAAGAAAUCAACCGAGAUUCCCCCAGUAGCGGCGAGCGAACGGGGAGGAGCCCAGAGCCUGAAUCAGCAUGUGUGUUAGUGGAAGCGUCUGGAAAGGCGCGCGAUACAGGGUGACAGCCCCGUACACAAAAGCGCAUGUGCUGUGAGCUCGAUGAGUAGGGCGGGACACGUGGUAUCCUGUCUGAAUAUGGGGGGACCAUCCUCCAAGGCUAAAUACUCCUGACUGACCGAUAGUGAACCAGUACCGUGAGGGAAAGGCGAAAAGAACCCCGGCGAGGGGAGUGAAAAAGAACCUGAAACCGUGUACGUACAAGCAGUGGGAGCACAGGUUUACCUGUGUGACUGCGUACCUUUUGUAUAAUGGGUCAGCGACUUAUAUUCUGUAGCAAGGUUAACCGUAUAGGGGAGCCGGAGGGAAACCGAGUCUUAACCGGGCGUUAAGUUGCAGGGUAUAGACCCGAAACCCGGUGAUCUAGCCAUGGGCAGGUUGAAGGUUGGGUAACACUAACUGGAGGACCGAACCGACUAAUGUUGAAAAAUUAGCGGAUGACCUGUGGCUGGGGGUGAAAGGCCAAUCAAACCGGGAGAUAGCUGGUUCUCCCCGAAAGCUAUUUAGGUAGCGCCUCGUGAAUUCAUCUCCGGGGGUAGAGCACUGUUUCGGCUAGGGGGCCAUCCCGGCUUACCAACCCGAUGCAAACUGCGAAUACCGGAGAAUGUUAUCACGGGAGACACACGGCGGGUGCUAACGUCCGUCGUGAAGAGGGAAACAACCCAGACCGCCAGCUAAGGUCCCAAAGUCAUGGUUAAGUGGGAAACGAUGUGGGAAGGCCCAGACAGCCAGGAUGUUGGCUUAGAAGCAGCCAUCAUUUAAAGAAAGCGUAAUAGCUCACUGGUCGAGUCGGCCUGCGCGGAAGAUGUAACGGGGCUAAACCAUGCACCGAAGCUGCGGCAGCGAACGUAUCACUUAAAGCGAUUCAGCGGGUUACGAUUGACGGAGCGAAGCGACGUCAAAGCGUAUACAAAGUCGAGUCGGUUUAAGGAUACGUUCGUUGGGUAGGGGAGCGUUCUGUAAGCCUG
rnacentral:rRNA from 2 species